CCGAAGCAUAACGAAGGAUACUUGGCACCAGUUUGUUGCUGAUAGGCUUUCAGCUACCUUCCAGGAAAUACGUGAAGCCCAAAUUGCAAAGCGAAAGGAGAAUAAAUAUCCUCAUCGUAUGUCACGCAAAGGUUAUGCAAAUUUAAUGGAAGAACUGUCUGAAAGUGUCCCUUUACAAGAACUUGAUAGAGCUACAAUGUGGAUCAAGGCUCGGCAAGAUAGAAAUGGCAACUUCAAAC